rnacentral:rRNA from 1 species
CCUACGGGUGGCAGCAGUGAGGAAUAUUGGUCAAUGGACGGAAGUCUGAACCAGCCAUGCCGCGUGCAGGAAGACGGCGCUAUGUGUUGUAAACUGCUUUUGUACAAGGGUAAACCUGAAUACGUGUAUUCAGCUGAAAGUACUGUACGAAUAAGGAUCGGCUAACUCCGUGCCAGCAGCCGCGGUAAUACGGAGGAUCCAAGCGUUAUCCGGAUUUAUUGGGUUUAAAGGGUGGGUAGGCGGAUUGAUAAUGUAGAGGGGAAAUGUUCGAGACUAACCCCGGAACUGCCUCUAAUACUGUUGAUCUAGAGAGUAGAUGCGGUAGGCGGAAUGUAUGGUGUAGCGGUGAAAUGCUUAGAGAUCAUACAGAACACCGAUUGCGAAGGCAGCUUACCAAUCUAUAUCUGACGUUGAGGCACGAAAGCGUGGGGAGCAAACAGGAUGAGAUACCCUUGUAGUC